GACGAACGCUGGCGGCGUGCUUAACACAUGCAAGUCGAACGGAAAGGCCUCAUUCGGGGGGUACUCGAGUGGCGAACGGGUGAGUAACACGUGAGUAACCUGCCCUUGACUUUGGGAUAACUUCAGGCAACUGGGGCUAAUACCGGAUAGGAGCUCCUGCUGCCUGGUGGGGGUUGGAAAGUUUCGGCGGUUGGGGGUGGGUUGGCGGCUUAUCAGCAUGUUGGUGGGGUAGUGGCUUACCGAGGCGUUGACGGGUAGCCGGCCUGAGGGAGUGAGCGGCGGCAUAGAGACUGACGGGCGGCCCAAGCGCCGACGGUUGGAAGCAGGGCGGAAGAUUGCUCAAGGGGUGGAAGCCGGGUGCAGCAGGGCCGUGGGCGGGAUGACGGCUUUGGGGUUGAAAACCGCUUUCGCUCAUGACGAAGCUUUGUGUGACGGUAGUGGGUGAAGAAGCACCGGCUAACUACGUG
rnacentral:rRNA from 1 species